GGAAUAUUGGACAAUGGGGGAAACCCUGAUCCAGCCAUGCCGCGUGUGUGAAGAAGGCCUUUUGGUUGUAAAGCACUUUAAGCGAGGAGGAGGCUACUUAGAUUAAUACUCUAGGAUAGUGGACGUUACUCGCAGAAUAAGCACCGGCUAACUCUGUGCCAGCAGCCGCGGUAAUACAGAGGGUGCGAGCGUUAAUCGGAUUUACUGGGCGUAAAGCGUGCGUAGGUGGUCUUUUAAGUCGGAUGUGAAAUCCCUGAGCUUAACUUAGGAAUUGCAUUCGAUACUGGGAGACUAGAGUAUGGGAGAGGAUGGUAGAAUUCCAGGUGUAGCGGUGAAAUGCGUAGAGAUCUGGAGGAAUACCGAUGGCGAAGGCAGCCAUCUGGCCUAAUACUGACACUGAGGCACGAAAGCAUGGGGAGCAAACAGGAUUAGAUACCCCGG
rnacentral:rRNA from 1 species